UUUCUUUGUGGUGGUGGGAAACUCUUUGGAGUUUUGUUUCCGUUUUCUUUGGAAGUUUGUGUGUCGACGGCGUGGUUGGCCUGCUGUGAAUAGGUGAAGAAUCGGUAUUUUGCAACUGGUCCUGUAGUCUGGGACGAAAAUGGAAACAAAGUUCAUUGCCGGCCAGUGUAGCCGUGCGGUUCUAACUCGGAGCCGGCCGCGGUGGUCUAGCGGUUCUGGCGCUUCAGUCUGGAACUGCGUGACCGCUCCGUUCGCAGCCACGAGAAAUAAAGGAAAUCAAGGAGUUCCUUUUGAAAGCGAGGAGGAAAGAUGCAAAAUCUGUGAAAAUAAAGAAGAAUCCAGAAAACACGAAGUUCAAGGUCAGAUGCUCCAGGUUUUUGUACACCCUUGUCAUUACAGACAAAGAAAAGGCUGAGAAGCUGAAACAGUCAUUACCACCAGGU